UGGGGAAUAUUGCGCAAUGGGGGAAACCCUGACGCAGCAACGCCGCGUGCAGGAAGAAGGUCUUCGGAUUGUAAACUGUUGUCGCAGGGGAAGAAAAAGAUGACGGUACCCUGUGAGAAAGUCACGGCUAACUACGUGCCAGCAGCCGCGGUAAUACGUAGGUGACAAGCGUUGUCCGGAUUUACUGGGUGUAAAGGGCGCGUAGGCGGGAUAGCAAGUCAGGAGUGAAAUGCCGAUGCUCAACAUCGGAACUGCUUUUGAAACUGUUAUUCUUGAGUAUCGGAGAGGAAAGCGGAAUUCCCAGUGUAGCGGUGAAAUGCGUAGAUAUUGGGAGGAACACCAGUGGCGAAGGCGGCUUUCUGGACGACAACUGACGCUGAGGCGCGAAAGUGUGGGGAGCAAACAGG
rnacentral:rRNA from 1 species